AGGAAAUGGAAGAAUUUGUCCAGAGCUCUGAUGAAGAUGGUGUUGUGUUUUCUCUGGAGCCAGUAGUGCAAAACCUUACAGAAGAAAAGGCUGAUCUUAUGGCUUCCGCCCUGGUUCAGAUUCCACAAAAGUUUUAUGGAGAUUCCAAGGAAAGAAACCAACUACAUUAGGAAGCAAUACUCAGCUCUAUGUUUGGAUAUCCCAGAGUGAUCUUCAUGCUAGGUCAUCCCCAAACCCAAGCUUUUAUCACUCAAGGUGAUAUAAAUGAGAUACAUGAAGCUAUUUACCAUGCAGUCCCUAUGGUGGGAGUUCCCAUGUCUGGUGAUCAGCCUGAUAAGACCUCUCAUAUGAAAGCCAAAUAAGCAACUGUGCAGGUGAACAUGAAUACAAUUACACGGGCAGAAUUGCUUAGGUCUUUGAGAACAGUUGCUAAUGAUCGUUAUAAACAGAAUGCUAUGAGAUUAUCAAGAAUUCACCAUGAUCAACCUGUAAAGCCCCUGGAUUGAGCAGUUUUCUGGAUCGAGUUUGUCAUGCGCCACAAAGGAGCCAAGCACCCUUGGCUAGCUGCCCACAACCUCUCCUAGUACCAGUGCCACUCUUUGGAUGUGAUUGUGUUUUGGCUGGUCUCCGUAGCAAUUACUAUAUUGUUGGUCACAAAACUUUGUUUGUUUUUCUGUUGAAAAUUUGGUAAAAUAGGAAAGAAGAAAAA
rnacentral:lncRNA from 1 species